rnacentral:lncRNA from 1 species
AAAUUGCACCCUUGCUUGUCUUCUUCUCUCUCCUUGUUGUGCUUUCUCCAUGCCAUUCCUGGUUUCUCCUGGGAGCAUUUCCUUAAGAAUUGCUUCACCCAAAUCCUCAUCUCAGGAUCCACGUCUGAGGAACCCAACCUAGAACUCGGGAGCUGGCCUUACUGCAUCAGCUGCCUGGGUGAGGCUAAGAGAAGGCAGGGAGUUGGAUGUUACCAGGAGCGGAGGUAUUUCCAGGUGAGGUUUAAGUUAUACCACGAAUCCUCAACUGCUGUGAGGUAUCUGCAUAUCCAACUCUUCAUUGUCCCUGGUGCAGGUUAACCAUGCUCUGCAGGGUACCUCUUUAUCCCCUCAGCCUGUCCCAGGCCUCCUGCCAGUGUCCACAGUGCUGUGCGUUGGGUGUCUAAUUCCACCUCCCCCUGAGAGGUCACUGACAUGUGAACACAUGCUCCUAACAAGUUGACCCCAGUCUUGCUGAAAUUGCCUAGACUGUAUUAUUUUCUUCCCCAUACUUGACAUAGAGCAUAAGCUGAGAGGUACAUAAUACAUGCCAUAAUUUAUGACGGUGCUUAGGUAAAGCCAUGCAAACUCGUCUAUCAUUGCCAGGUUCAUUUCCAGUGGUGUUCAUUGAAGGUAAGUUGACUCAUUUAUACAAAACAAUUCCCUCAUUUCCCUUUGAGCAAUUGUCAAGUGUGCUUGACGCAGGCCAAGUGACCUUCAAAUGCGGAGUGGGGUUUGGCCUGGAAUGUCAGUGUGCAUUUGGCAGCAUGAAUUGCUCCAAAGAAUCCUGAUUUCUUAUGCAUGAACUGCUGACCCCAGCACUGGGGCCUGGAGAGCGGGACGGGAAGGAAGGUGAACUCCUGCUGAUUCAGGGGCCCUCCCAGCAGCCUUUCCACGGUGUCAGCAGUAUUCACAUCACUUUCCUCUCCUCCCUCUUCCGCCCCACCGUAAGUCCUGUCCCUGGAAGCACUUUUCAGUUGCCAGGAAUCAUGAACAUUAGGAAACAAUCCAAAAAAACGGGGUGUCUACUUUAUAUUCUGUGGCCCACACGGUCACACAUGGGCCUGGUUUUAACACCGGGUCAUAGGUGUGGAAACAGCCUGGCCUAGAGGAAGGAACACUGAACCAGUGAGAGAGGCCUUCAGUGACUCCAGGACCAAGCAAGUGUGUGGCCUGGAGGCUGGCCUUUCUAAGAGGCCUGUCUCGGUGGAAACGGAGGAAUGUUCUACUGCUGGCUUUCCAGAGCGCUCCUCUAGCCCCACUACUUGGAGCGAUGCUUCCCGGUGUUGAAGCUGCAGAUCUAAGGACCAUGUUUCUUCAAACACAACCAGGCCUCUAGGGCAAGAUCGUUUCCAGGAGAUGUAAUGAAAUAUGAAGGAAAACGCCCAGCAGGCAACAUGCCUGCCUGCUGAGGAUCACAGGAAACAGCCUUACUACCAAUCUACCAAUACUGGGCCCUGAGCUGGAGAAACAGCUCCUUUUUUCAUUUCAAAAUAUCACUAAUGUUCCAUGGUGCAGGACAUAUUUCAAAUGCCUCAAUUGGAAAAAACAGGCUCCAAAGGCAUCACGGUGUGCCUGUGGCUCUUGUCUGUGCUAGGCAGCAGCACAAGGGCCUGCUCAUUAGCUCACUGAUGACAGGUUUAUCCGCAACUGUAUAUCAAGCAAUGAGAAAGUCAGCUGUGCGAGCAAACGUCCCUCAGUCAUAUUGCACAAAGCCUUCGUAAAGGGAUAGAGUGCUGAAAGCCUCCUAACUCCUCUCUAGCUGAACAUCUUUUCCCCUCCGCUACCUCUGAACCUCUCAUCCUUCCAACUCAGCUCAAGAACGCAGAAGCUGUUUGCCGACCCCUUCUGCUAGUGUCCUGUCCUUGGUAAUUCAAAGACGCCCCCGGGAUGGCCCACAAAGAGCCCUGUGUGCAUGCACACGCGCCACUGUCACUGAUAAGGCCACUGGGUGGUGAGCGGUUCUUUUCACACUUCACAUCCAGAGGCUUUUCCUGUGAUUUGUGUGUGAAGCACCUGUUUGCAUGGUCCGUCCACCCUUAUCUGAGAUUCUGCCUCUUAGGCACCAGGGCAGGUUGAAGCCUUUUUCACCCACUUACAAAGCAACAGCUUAUUCCUGAGAAGUGUGUCAAGCUGGUAUGUCCACUGUGCUCCCCAGACUCACCAAUAAGAUCACUGACUUAAUUGUUUUCUGCCCCUUACUUUUAGAAGAAAGAAGUUAGGCAAUCUAAAGGAGUCAAACUGAUAAUGUUGCUUUUGAAAAAAAGUAAACAAAUAAUAAAACAUCUCCCAGAGUGUAUGGGGUCCAAAACACAUUUAACCCAGUUUCUCACACUUUCCAUAUGAACAUUUACUCAAUAAUCCUACGUGAUGUUUAGAAUGAAUAAUUACUGUGGGGCCCCUCAUCAAACAUCAGAAAGAGACCAAUAGGUUCGAUAUUUUGCCGUAAAGCAGGAAAUUGAACUAAGUAUCAAGAAAUAAAUACCAACAGAGAGAAUAACAAAGGAAGGAAGGAGGGAUUAAUUGUCAUUGUUAGAGAAAAACUCAUUUUCUGAUGAUGAUGGUCAAGACCUUAUCUUAUAAUCCUCCUAACUAUAGCCUCCUUUUCUUUGCAUUGGGUACCCAACAUCCAUUAUGACUGUUGUCUCCAGAAGCCCAGAGACAUUCAUCUUUUUGCUCUCCUUUCACUGAUGAGGAGACUGGACGUCACGUGAUAAUUCAGCUGCCCAGUCUUAUGGCAAGCGAGAGAGACCUAUUUUGAACUGAGGCAUGCUGGACUUCAAAGUCCAUGUUCUUGCUCUUAGAGCAAGUCUCUAAAACAAGAUUUUCACUAAUUCUUAACAAUUUAUUGAGUUCAGCAGUUACUGAGCAUCUAUCAUGUCUUGGCAGUGAUAGGGAAUACAGAUAUAAAAAAGUUACAGCCCUACCUUCACUUGAGCCAAAAAUAUUUUUCUUUAGGGAAUCUUUAGAACAAACACUUUCAGAAAAUUUUUCUAAUUGAGCUUGAGAUGUUGACUUGACUCUCAUUUUUAAAACUAACUAAUUGGCUAUCAAAAUGGCAACACUUACAAGAUAAUGCUUUCUGUAUUUCUUCAUGCAUUUAACUCCCUAACUAAUGAAAAACUUCAUGAUAUUUUCUCCCAAAGGAGGGGAUAGAAGUGUCUUUUCUUCUCACACUGUGAAGACAAGUAAACGUAAUUUAGUUUCAAUACAGUUAUAUUAGCUUUAGAUAAUAAUGAGCUAUUGCCAUAUAUCAGACCACAAAAAAAGAACCAAAACUAAACAUUAAUACAAGGUAUGUUUUUAUUUCUAUUAUACUUUAAGUUCUGGGAUACAUGUGCAGAAUUUGCAGGUUUGUUACAUAAGUAUACACGUGCCAUGGUGGUUUGCUGCACCCAUCAACCCAUCAUCUACAUUAGGUAUUUCUCCUAAUGCUAUUCCUCCCCUAGCCCUCCACCCCCCAACAGGCCCCAGUGUGCGAUGUUCCCCUCCCUGUGUCCAUGUGUUCUCAUUGUUCAAUGUGUAACAGAGUUGGAGUAUGGCUUCUAAAAAUCAUAAUUUCAUAUGCAUAAUGGCAAUUGCUAGACAAGAAUUCUGUAACUAGAGCUAGUUACAUGAGCAAAAACUGCCUCAUAGUUCAGGUUGCAAAGUGGGCAGCCAUUAUAGCCCAGAAGACACUCCCAGAAGAAAUUGGUGAGCUAACUUUGUAUAUUUAUGAACAUUUUUGGUAUUUUCAGUCUUUCCGAAGCACCUGGUGAUGGCCAGUGUGGAAGACUAGGUGGAGCAUGACAAGAUCAUUGUCUGUAAGCACUCACUGUGCUGUUUCUAGAAGACGCUUCUGUAGGUGAAUAAAGGUGGUUAUUGCUGAGUCUUUCUUCACCAAAAAAUAAUGAAACUAAUUUAAUAGGCUGAUUUGGAAAAGAGCCUAGUAAAAUCCGCUGCAGAAUUGGGAUUUGCUUUGAAAAGUGUCUCUGUCCUUACAGGCACACUGAUGGAGUAUUGUUUUGUUCCUCAUGUGGCAUUUUUCAAGCCACUUCAAGUCUGUUUUCAAACUAAAUUGGGAAUUAAAAAAUCAUAUGAUAAGUAAAUUGAAAAAUGUAACUCACUAGUGUCCAUUCUCUAGCAUCCAAAGUAUUUGACCUAUUACAAAUUUAUCAACAGUAAAUAUUUCUUAGACUAAUUUGUAACCUGUUAUAAAUUCACCCAAAGGAAUAGUAAUUUUCAUAAUAAUGGAAUAAAAGAGCUUUCAAUGUCCCUUAUGAAGCUGUGUUCAAUGGAAAUAAAGCAUUGGGUGUAGCGGUGGGUAUGUGAAUGGAUGGAGAACUGGCUGAGCAGCCUAUGGGUUGAUUAGCCAUAGAAACAUUGGGCCUUGAUUGCUGCAAGCCCUCAGCCUGGGCCCAGUUUAAGAGCAGCCUG